ACGUAAUCUGCUGUCUACUUCUUUGAAAUUUUUAAUGCUAACGUUCCAAAUUUAUUCGAAUGUUCUUUUAGGUUUAUUCUUUGUAUGUGUUUUACACCUGAUGAGGAUGCUAUAUGCAUCGAAAACGUUUGUUUACGUUUAAAUAAACUGAUGUGUUGAUUUUUAUUGCAAGGAGUGCUGAGUUUCAUUCAGUCAAUUUGUAACCAGCAAAAUGACUUAUAAAUAGAACAAGCAGUCAAUCGUAUAAAAAGUAUGGUUAUAGUGCUUGAUAAUAUAAAACUUUUUCACUAUGUCAAGGAACCAAUACUAAAGGGAUUGAUAGAAGCUGUAUAAGAAUGAAAAAUAUUGUACUAAUAAUAGAGACAUUAAUUUUACCUCUCUCAAAACUAAAGAAAGAGAAGUUAAGAUGGGACUUUCCAGAAUGGAAGAGAGAAGAAUUCCACAGCUACAAGAAUCAGAUGAAGAGAAUAGAAUUGAUUUAUAGCUCUUCAAAUAAAUGGCAGCAGAAAUUCAUAUGAUCUAUAUAUAGGAAGACAAGAUAAAGAAAUUUAUAUUUCUGAAAGAAAGCACCCAUGAAAAUAUGCUUUAUUGCAUUAUGAUAAAUGAAUGAGGUAAAGAAAUUCAUGGAGAGCUAAUAGAUUGAUAAGAACAUAAGCUUUAUAAGUUAUUAAAAAGGAAGAAUUUCCAAAAAUGUUUAUCUAUGAAGAAGAUGGUGUCAAAUCCAACAUGCCUGAGACUAUUCAAAUAUAUCAAAAAAUGCAAAGAUCCCUUAGAGUGAGACCUGCAGUUAAAAGGUAUAAGUCUCUAAUCUUUUCCUUAAAAAUAAGACUAGCAGCAGUGCUAGCUAAAACAAUCAUGGACUCUAUUGGGAUCAUUUUGAUGGGCCUCUGUAUUUCACAUUAUUUAAUAAAAUUAGGUAUAAGGAAUUAUGUUAUAAUGUUAUAUUAAAAAUUAAGUAAUGUCAAUAUC
rnacentral:lncRNA from 1 species